GACGAACGCUGGCGGCGUGCUUAACACAUGCAAGUCGAACGGUAAGGCCCCUUCGGGGGUACACGAGUGGCGAACGGGUGAGUAACACGUGAGCAACCUGCCCUUGACACUGGAAUAACAGUUGGAAACAGCUGCUAAUGCCGGAUAUGACCUUCGGUGACACCACCUGGAGGUGGAAAGUGCUUAGCGGUCAAGGAUGGGCUCGCGGCCUAUCAGCUAGUUGGUGAGGUAACGGCUCACCAAGGCUUCGACGGGUAGCCGGCCUGAGAGGGCGACCGGCCACACUGGGACUGAGAUACGGCCCAGACUCCUACGGGAGGCAGCAGUGGGGAAUAUUGCACAAUGGGCGCAAGCCUGAUGCAGCAACGCCGCGUGCGGGAUGACGGCCUUCGGGUUGUAAACCGCUUUCAGUUCCGACGAAGCGCAAGUGACGGUAGGAACAGAAGAAGGACCGGCCAACUACGUGCCAGCAGCCGCAGUAAAAC
rnacentral:rRNA from 1 species